rnacentral:rRNA from 1 species
GAUGAACGCUGGCGGCGUGCCUAAUACAUGCAAGUCGAGCGAACGGACGAGAAGCUUGCUUCUCUGAUGUUAGCGGCGGACGGGUGAGUAACACGUGGAUAACCUACCUAUAAGACUGGGAUAACUUCGGGAAACCGUAGCUAAUACCGGAUAAUAUUUUGAACCGCAUGGUUCAAAAGUGAAAGACGGUCUUGCUGUAACUUAUAGAUGGAUCCGCGCUGCAUUAGCUAGUUGGUAAGGUAACGGCUUAUCAAGGCAACGAUGCAUAGCCGACCUGAGAGGGUGGUCGCCCACAUGGGAACUGAAACACGGUCCAGACUACUACGGGAGGCAGCAGUAGGGAAUCGUACGCAAUAGGCGAAAGCCUGACGGAGCAACGCCGCGUGAGUGGUGAAGGUCUUCGGAUCGUAAAACUCUGUUAUUAGGGAAGAACAUAUGUGUAAGUAACUGUGCACAUCGUGACGGUACCUAAUCAGAAAGCCACGGCUAACUACGUG